AGUCAUGUAGUCUGGCUAUAGAAUUGUGUGGUUGAUAAAACUGUGCGAUUAAGAGGUAGAGACGUCUGUGUGUCAGGCUGGUGUCAUCAAUAGGGCUGAUGCUAGGCGAACGCUAGUGCUAUAGUGUGCUCCGGCUUCUAGGUUACAUGCUGAGAUGCACUAUUGUUUAGCUCUGUCAAAGACUUGUAUAGCAUUUAGAGCGUGGCUUAGAUUGGAUGUAAGUCUUUGUGAGCGUACGGGUUGUGUAUGAGGUGAAUAUCAUGGCGGGUUGGAGUUUUAGCCGGCAGUAAGCUUGGGUGUAUGGGUUUGCCCCUUCAGGACCUGCACCUUGGGAGUGGAUACCCCUAACCAAGCGGGCUGUGCGGGGGUUGAUUAGGAUGCCUUGUAUGAAGGCUUUCAAGCAGUGUAGGGCCCUAGGGUCUUGCCAUAGGUAAGUCAUUUGCUAGUGUGUGGUAAAGAUGGUCAGAGAGAGAAUAUGCAAUAACAUAUAAACAUAAACAAACUUUGUGAGUAACAGAAAUUAAACUCGAUGUGGUCUGUUUUCACCCAUGUUCAUGGCACUGCAGGCUGUGUUCCUCCUGUUCUAGGGGCAAGGUUGUAGUGGUGGUGGGGUCCCGGUUUUCUCUGGAGACUGUUGCUGGCAUUGCUGUUUCUAGCUUGGACAGACCAAGAGUUCUCAGGAAGGUUGGAGCGUCCUCCUUUGAGAAUAGGACUUGAGUAGACCCUGCAUUUGUAACUUACAGUGAGCCACCUGCUCCCCAUCGGUAUGCUAUUCCUGCUUUGCGUAGUUGCGAGGUGACUGGACCAUAGGACUUGCGCCACAGUAGCAUGGCUCUUGACAGGUCUUGAUAGAAGGUGAGGGACAAGUCCUCAAAGUGUAGAGGCGUAUUGCCCUUAAGUGCAGCCAUGAUGUGAAGCUUAUCUUGAACUGAGACACAGCAUUAGAUCACAUCUCGUACCGCAGGGGACCUCAUCUAUGGUGAUUCUCUGUGCCACAGCAUGGGGGAGUAUGGAGGCUAGAAGGCAUCUGACAUAAUGUCGUAGCUCUUCUGCUAAGAUUGCGGCAGGUACUCCCCUGAUUUUAAUGUGUGUGCGUCUCUGACAGUCUUCUAUGGUUGCUAUUUUGAGCACCAUCAUUUUUUGUUGGUAUUGGAGCUGGUGCACUGUGUCAUCUAGUGUUGUCAGGUGGGUUUGGACACUCACCAUGUCUUGUUUUGUGGCUUGCACCUUGUCAGUGACAGCCCACAAUUUGGUUUUGAGGAGGGCUGAUUCAGCUGCUAGGAGCUUGUGUAUUUCUGCUAGUAGGAGUUUGAGAUCUUUCUUGGUAGUAGGAGCCAAGUCAUCUAGUGCCUCGGGUGAUGUUUGCUGCAGUGCCCAUGUGUUUGGAGGAGUCUCUGGUCUUCUUUCUUCUGGGCUGAAAGCGCGGCCAGCUGCUUGCCAGUCUUCCACGGGUGCAGGUACUGUUUUGGGCGGCGCAGGUCUUUGCAGCAGCGACCCGAUGUCAUUCUCCUCAGCUGGAGGUUUUUGGAAUCAACCAUACUCGGCAAGUGCACUGAGCGGUUAUGCUGUGGGGGUGAGGGAGGAAGGUCCACUCCGGCCAGCGGGUAUCUGCGCAGGAACUGCUCGAGGCCCAGGAUCGAGGGUGUGAAGUAGGCCCCGGAUUUACGUUUCCGUACCGGUGAGGCUUUUCUUGCCGGUUCCGAUGCUGUAGGUUAGAGGGCUGGAUAGGCCACAGGAUCAGGGAUAUUGUGUGGAUUGAUGGGUUUUGUUAAGGAGCAAUUAGAAAUGAUGUCUGGUUCAGUGUGCUUGCAAGAUCCGUCCCCGUUAGAAUUUUUUUUUAAAUGAUUUAUCUAUAAAAAUCCCCAUAGACAUUAAUGGUGACUUCUGUCAAUAAAUCAUUUGAAAAGUUUAUCAAUCAGAUUGCGAUCCUUUGAAAACCUAAUCCAAAAAUUAUAAAUUGAGGCCUAAAUUUCAACAAAUACGUUUUUGGAAUGAACGUUUUAUAAAAAACGUUUCUGUAUCAUAUCUACAUUUCCUAUAUGUACGCAAGGCUCAUGCAAAAUAAUUGUUUUUUUCCCAGAAUGUUUAUUAAACCCUUCUGUGUGCCAAAAAAUCUGUCAGGACACAUCAGAAAUUAUUUUUGAAAACUAAAGUGUUUGAGAUGGGAAAAUAUUCUAAUUAAAAUUGACAAGCCAUAAAGCACAAAUUUUGAAAUAUAUUAAAAUACAUUUUCCUGUGAAUUAAUGCACAAAUCUCAACUGAUUUCCUUACAAAAUGCUUGUUUCUUCCACAAUGCCAUCGUUAUUUUAUUUUAAAUUUUUUUAAAGAAUUGUUUACAGCCUGAUUAAUGUAUCUUCAAAUGAUUCCC